CCCUUAGAUGUCCGGGGCUGCACGCGCGCUACACUGAAGGAAUCAGCGUGCUAAAACCAUUGUCGAAAGGCAUUGGUAAACCCAUUAAAAUCCUACGUGAUUGGGAUCGGGAAUUGCAAUUAUUUCCCUUGAACGAGGAAUUCCCAGUAAGUGUGGGUCAUAGGCUCGCGUUGAUUACGUCCCUGCCCUUUGUACACACCGCCCGUCGCUGCCCGGGACUGAGCCGUUUCGAGAAAAGCGGGGACUGCUGCUGUCGGGGCUUUCGGGCCUUGGCUUCGGUGGAAACCGCUUUAAUCGCAGUGGCUUGAACCGGGCAAAAGUCGUANCA
rnacentral:rRNA from 1 species